AUUGAACGCUGGCGGCAUGCCUUACACAUGCAAGUCGAACGGCAGCACGGGAGCAAUCCUGGUGGCGAGUGGCGAACGGGUGAGUAAUGUAUCGGAACGUACCUUUCAGUGGGGGAUAACGUAGCGAAAGUUACGCUAAUACCGCAUAUUCUGUGAGCAGGAAAGCAGGGGAUCGCAAGACCUUGCGCUGAUUGAGCGGCCGAUAUCAGAUUAGCUAGUUGGUGAGGUAAAGGCUCACCAAGGCGACGAUCUGUAGCGGGUCUGAGAGGAUGAUCCGCCACACUGGAACUGAGACACGGUCCAGACUCCUACGGGAGGCAGCAGUGGGGAAUUUUGGACAAUGGGCGCAAGCCUGAUCCAGCCAUGCCGCGUGAGUGAAGAAGGCCUCGGUUGUAAGAC
rnacentral:rRNA from 1 species